CAGUCGCCGCGGUAAUACGUAGGGUGCAAGCGUUAAUCGGAAUUACUGGGCGUAAAGCGUGCGCAGGCGGUUAUAUAAGACAGAUGUGAAAUCCCCGGGCUCAACCUGGGAAUGGCGCUUGUGACUGCAAAGCUAGAGUGCGGCAGAGGGGGAUGGAAUUCCGCGUGUAGCAGUGAAAUGCGUAGAUAUGCGGAGGAACACCGAUGGCGAAGGCAAUCCCCUGGGCCUGCACUGACGCUCAUGCACGAAAGCGUGGGGAGCAAACAGGAUUAGAUACCCCCGUAGUCCCUGUCUCUUAUAC
rnacentral:rRNA from 1 species